GUGUGCAUGCGCACGCACACAGGCAGACGCCAGGAGUAGAGUGUGAUGGUUCAAAAAGAAAAGGAAAUGCUUAAGGUAGUGAAUCACGUUUUGCCCAGGAAAACACACUUGAUAAUUGAAGGAUGAUGAAGCGUUCACAGGCUUUACUAGCGAUCUUUUGGCUUCUACUGAGCUGGGUGAGCAGUGAAGACAAGGUGGUACAAAACCCUCUAUCUCUGGUUGUCCAUGAGGGAGACACUGUAACUCUCAACUGCAGUUAUGAAGUGGUUAACUUUCGAAGCCUACUAUGGUACAAGCAGGAAAAGAAAGCUCCCACGUUUCUAUUUAUGCUAACUUCAAGUGGAAUUGAAAAGAAGUCAGGAAGACUAAGUAGCAUAUUAGACAAGAAAGAACUUUUCAGCAUCCUGAACAUCACAGCCACCCAGACCAGAGACUCGGCUGUCUACCUCUGUGCUGUGGAGGCACAGUGCUCCCUAGUCACCUGCAGCCUGUACUCAAAUUCUACAGCUGAAGCUCUGCAACUGUAAGAUGGGGAACUUGCUAUAUUGAGCAAGUCCUCAAAAAUAAACUAUAAGGAAAAGCAGUUAUUGGUCAAGAUCCUUGUGCCCAUGUUGACAAUUACUUUUGCAGUUUACUGAAUCCUAACUCAGAGUCAUAUCAUUGCAUUCACUCCCUUCUCUGUGAGUUUUCUAUGGGAUUCAGCAUAGCUAAUAUUUCUAGAGGGUCACUCAGGAUACUAACUCCAUUGCCACACCGUUAUGCCCUGUGAUAGAAAGCAAACCCUUUUACCAGGAUUGUACAGGCAACUGAUAUGUGCACUACACAUUAGGGAAUCUGCCUAACAGCUAUGGAUGGUUUAGCUUCCUUCCCAGAACAGAUACAUUUGUGGUAAAGUUCUGCCUAUAACAUUUUUUACUGGACCUACUGGCAAAGAACAAAGGGUAAGAGCAAGCAGGUAUCAUUACCUGAUUAAAACAAAAGGUUUUCAUUCUCAAUUGCAUUAUUCUUACUUACUAUCUUCAUUUUAGGAUUGUUGCCUAUUCUGGGUACGUCAUUAAAGUGGUGAUAGAAUUUUCUCAAGAUAUUACACAUUAAUUUGUAUACUUAGAAACUUAAGCAGCCUACCAAAAGAAACGAGUUGGCUGAAGUAAGUUAUGUGAAGCUAACAUAAACUUAGCCUACUUAUGUUGCGAUACACUCUUUCAAUGAAUUAUGUAAUCAUAUAUAUGGUAUUUACAAAGAGCUUGCAAUGGAAGCUACUGUUUAUUGAAAGCAAGUAUUAUGUGCCUUGUAUUUUGCAAAUAUCACCUCAUUGAAUUCUCAAAAUAACUCUGAUGGAUCAUCAAUAUUACUUUCUGUUAGCAUAUUAGGAAAUGCAGACUCAGAAAGAUUAAGUCCCCUUCCCCACCCCCUACCCCAGACAAAUAGCUAUAACAGAAUCUGAAAUCAGGUCUACCUGACUCCAAACUAUACUUUCUCUAUUACAUGCCCCCAGUGUUAAACACCAUCGAGGAAAAUUUUACCCACAGCGUGACCACAAUUACGUACAAAAAAAUGUACACGCAAUACUGAAAUAGCAUGUUUAACAUGUAAAUAAAAUAGCAUUUACAAUAACAUGCGAAUAAAAUAACUCCAAAUGUUUGAAACAGU